AUCCCGACAGGGAUUCCCAUUGUCCCCCCUCCUCUGCAUUCUAGCACUGGAACCACUAACCCAAAUUAUUCAAGAUGACCCGAACAUCCAUGGCAUCAACCUCCAAGGUCGCAAACACAAACUAUCCCUGUUUGCGGAUGAUAUUCUACUAGCACUAGAAUAGCCACACAUAUCCCUACCCAACUUCCACAAUUCUUUGCUCAAUACAGCCAAUGCUCCUACUACAAACUAAACGUGGCCAAAACACAAGAAAUAGGCAUACACAUCCCGAAGCAUGACAUGACCACUUUGACACAAAACUACGCAUAUGAUUGGCGCAGAGACCACAUCAAAU